GUCGGGAUAGCUCAGCUGGUAGAGCAGAGA
rnacentral:tRNA from 3 species